AAGAUCAAGUUUUGUGUCCAACACACUUGGAUGAGACGUGCCCGGCCCCCUGACUUUGUCUACCCUACAUUAAGUUGUGAUGGCACACUUCAUGACAGUAAACAUCGGUAUCAAGAUGGUGUGAUUGAUCUAUACCCUAGAAUAAGCUGUGACACUAUGAGACGUACGUGCUACUGAUGCUUUUUGUUAUUUUUUUGGUGCAUUCCCACACUAUACAAACACGUUGCUUGGCUCCAAAGUGCAUACACUUUUGACUUUAUAAUGUCAUUCUCAUUUAUAGGGUGACAUAAUGAACAGCCAUCUUCCAGACAACCGAAACAGGCAGAGUAUUGUUUUCUUGUGUAUUGUCAUACACCUAAAGAGGAUUUUUUGUAAUUGUACAGUUAUGGUGUUAUUCAUUCAUUAAUGUGUCCUUUCUUACCUUAAAUAACUUGUCAUUUUUCACUCCUUUUGUUUUUAAUGUCUAUAUAGUAUUGUCUACAAUCCCAAAUUCUGGAUUGACGCCCCAGUACCAGAAGGCACUCCAAUCCCAGAGAGCAUCCCAUUGUGAGGUAACACAACGAAAAAAUAACAGGAUGGAGACUACCUGAUUCUUCACCUAUGGCCUUAGCUUCAAAUGCAAGAAGUCCAGCAACUGUCUGAGCUGGUGGAUAUUCUAUCCGAGACUGCAUGAACAACGUUAUGAACAGAAUGAUGUCAAAUUGUCUUAUGGCAAAGUUCAAUAUGAGGGGUGGUGGACAUCUGGAAAAGAAGUCUUUUAAAGGCACACCUUUGUAUUAUGUUAUUCAAGAUGCUGUGAGGAGGUGGAGCCCAAAAGCCACGGACUCGGAAAUCGAUGCAGCUAUGGCAGACCACCUCAAGCACACUCCAGGAAGAGAGCUAGGGGUUGUGAAUACAAAAAAUAAGCCAAACAGAUGUAAUGUGUUAGAGAUAGUUCACACAAAAAUGAAAAUUGUUAUAAUUUUCUUACCCACGUGUUUCAAACCUGUAUACAUUUCUAUUUUUUGCUGAACACAAAGAUUGAAUAAUGUUUGUAACCAAGCAUUUCUCACAACCCAUUAACUGUCAUAAUCAUUUUUUUUACAAUUGUAGUAAUGGGUUGUGAGAUCUGCUUUUUUAAAAACAUUCUUUCAAAUAUCUUUGUGUUCCGCAGAACAUAGAAAGGUAUACAGGUUUGAAACAUGAGAGGGAGUAAAUGACUAAAUAUUCAUUUUUGGGUGAACUAUCCCUUUAUAUAAUAAAGUAUUUUGAAAUUGUUAUUAUAGUUAAAAAAAAUAAAAGUCUUAAAUCAGAA